AGCUCCAAUAGCGUAUAUUAAAGUUGUUGCAGUUAAAAAGCUCGUAGUUGGAUCUCAGGCGCAGGCGGGCGGUCCGGCUCGCAGCCGGUUCACUGCUCGUUCCCUGCCCUAACCCCUGUCGGCUCUCUCCUGCGGGUGCUCUUCACUGAGCGUCCCAGGUGGCCGACGCGUUUACUUUGAAAAAAUUAGAGUGUUCAAAGCAGGCCAACAAGCCUGAAUAAUGGUGCAUGGAAUAAUAGAAUAGGACCUCGGCCCUAUUUUGUUGGUUUCCGGGACGGAGGUAAUGAUUAACAGGGACAAACGGGGGCAUUCGUAUUGCGGCGUUAGAGGUGAAAUUCUUGGAUCGCCGCAAGACGAGCUACUGCGAAAGCAUUUGUCAAGAAUGUUUUCA
rnacentral:rRNA from 1 species